UAGAAUUUGAAAGAAGGUUCUUCGGGUGAUGGUAGGUUCGAAAGCAUUUGGCCUUGUGAGCGAUCCUAUAGAAUAUAAAUAUUUUAGGAACCCUAUGACUUAAGUGCGGCUACGUCUGGAUAUGCUGGGUCGUUAUCUACGUUUUUAUGCUCACACGUAUUCAGCCAGUGGCCGCCUCCGCCGCACACCGUGGAUUGGCUGAAUAUGUGGCACUCUUAGCCAGCGGCCCACCCGGCAUUUGGUUCGAGUUAUCUCUGCCAUUUUUGUUAUCGUAUUACUUGGUUCAGGCAGCAUUUGUAAGGGUGAGUGAGGAGAAGAGAUAGGAUGUUGAUAAUACUGGCUCUGCCACCAUCAGUCAUUGAGGGCAACUUCUAAACAAAGUGUCUCCAACAUAAUAACACUGACUACCAAAUAAUAAAAA